UGCCCUGUGGGGCUGCAGCAGUGGACACCGUGGAGCUCGGGGUAGGACGUAGUUUGUGUCUGCAAGGCUGUAUGGGGGCUGUGGGAUCCAUCCCAUGGGGCUGUAGGGGGAUGCCCUGAGGGGCUGCAGUGGGUUGUAGGGUCAAGGGGAUGCUCCAUGAGCUGCGUGGGGGAGGGGCUGUAGCAAAACCCCAGCAUGAUGUGACCUCGUCCAGCUCCUGCGCUGAUCCCUGUUUUCUCUCUCCCGUCCCACUGGGGAGCAAUGAACGGCUGCGUGGUGCUGAGCUGCCUGCCGGGUUAAACCACAACAGCAGAAAAAUGAUGUUGACAACUUACACAAAAUACCUUGAGCACCUGCAAGCCCAUCAAGGACAUCACUCUACGGCACAUCCAGCAAACACCUGCCUGGAGAUCUCUGCUCUGAGCUGAGAUAAAUACAUUCUUCAGCUCCCUCAACAGAGCAGCUAUUCACUUGGACGAUCUGCAUGAUUUGUCCAGCUGCCAGAUUUUGAGCCUUGGUCUUCAUCCAGGAGAAACAGAUACCAAGUUGGGCGGCUUUUGCCUCCAGGCAUCCAAGCGUGUGUUCCAGGUGUAGUGCUGACUAACCAUCAGGAGCCACAGCGUCCGCAGAGCAGAGGUCAGUGAAGGUCACUCAGAGAUCCUGAGCAAUGCAUCAGAGUUCUUGAGCCCGGGCACUGAAGGCCCAGCACCACGGCGUGGGGAUGCCAGCUUUCCAAGCAGAUCCAUUGCUCCGUCACCCCUGGUAGCCCUGCGAUCAUGUGAAGGUCAACUCUUGGUGAGAUCCCCAGGCAAUGGAAUCACGCUGGGGGAAGGACUUUACUCCUGUUCUGUCUUUGCAGCUAUAGCGGGACAAGGUUCAGCGUCCAGACUGCUAACAAAACAAAAUCGUUCUGGGCAGUCUUUGCAAGUCAGCGGCGGCUGAGUUUUGGCAAAGAGUGCAGGGGCAAAGCCUGGCACAGCACCAGGCGGUGACGCAGUUGGUCAGCAUCCUCUGCAGCCUGAUGGUUGACCUUUUCUUUUGCGCAAUAAGAAAGCAAUGUCCUUCCUCCAUCCCAGAGGGACUUGGCCAGACCCUCGGCACAGGAGCAACAUUCAUCUGCCCCAGCUUUAGGUGUCAACAGCAAACAUCUACAGUCCUCCUCAUCAACAUCAGCUUUCUUUAGUGACCCUCUUGUGGAGAAAUGCAGUUGCAUCUAAAGAUUGGUCUGUUGCUUUUGAUACCAACUUUAGUGUGAAGGCAAGCUCAUCCCUGGAGGUGUUUUAGGCCAAGUUGGAUCAGGCCCUGGACAAUUUCAUCUAGUGCCUGACUGAGUGGUUGGCAAUCCUGUCCCCAGCAAGGGGGUUGGAGCUCGAUGGUCUUUGAGGUCCCUUCCAACCUAAGCCAUUCUAUGAUUCUGUGAUUCAAAUCAAGCUCAAAUAUUGUGUCUGACAUUUAUAAUGCUAUGAUCUAUGUUCCUUGUGAAUUAUAAAGGUACUUCCUUGAGACAUUCCAUAGCCCACUCUGUGA
rnacentral:lncRNA from 1 species